UUAAGCGACUAAGCGUACACGGUGGAUGCCCUGGCAGUCAGAGGCGAUGAAGGACGUGCUAAUCUGCGAUAAGCGUCGGUAAGGUGAUAUGAACCGUUAUAACCGGCGAUUUCCGAAUGGGGAAACCCAGUGUGAUUCGUCACACUAUCAUUAACUGAAUCCAUAGGUUAAUGAGGCGAACCGGGGGAACUGAAACAUCUAAGUACCCCGAGGAAAAGAAAUCAACCGAGAUUCCCCAGUAGCGGCGAGCGAACGGGGAGCAGCCCAGAGCCUGAAUCAGUGUGUGUGUUAGUGGAAGCGUCUGGAAAGGCGUGCGAUACAGGGUGACAGCCCCGUACACAAAAAUGCACAUAUUGUGAGCUCGAUGAGUAGGGCGGGACACGUGGUAUCCUGUCUGAAUAUGGGGGGACCAUCCUCCAAGGCUAAAUACUCCUGACUGACCGAUAGUGAACCAGUACCGUGAGGGAAAGGCGAAAAGAACCCCGGCGAGGGGAGUGAAAAAGAACCUGAAACCGUGUACGUACAAGCAGUGGGAGCACGCUUAGGCGUGUGACUGCGUACCUUUUGUAUAAUGGGUCAGCGACUUAUAUUCUGUAGCAAGGUUAACCGAAUAGGGGAGCCGAAGGGAAACCGAGUCUUAACUGGGCGUUAAGUUGCAGGGUAUAGACCCGAAACCCGGUGAUCUAGCCAUGGGCAGGUUGAAGGUUGGGUAACACUAACUGGAGGACCGAACCGACUAAUGUUGAAAAAUUAGCGGAUGACUUGUGGCUGGGGGUGAAAGGCCAAUCAAACCGGGAGAUAGCUGGUUCUCCCCGAAAGCUAUUUAGGUAGCGCCUCGUGAAUUCAUCUCCGGGGGUAGAGCACUGUUUCGGCAAGGGGGUCAUCCCGACUUACCAACCCGAUGCAAACUGCGAAUACCGGAGAAUGUUAUCACGGGAGACACACGGCGGGUGCUAACGUCCGUCGUGAAGAGGGAAACAACCCAGACCGCCAGCUAAGGUCCCAAAGUCAUGGUUAAGUGGGAAACGAUGUGGGAAGGCCCAGACAGCCAGGAUGUUGGCUUAGAAGCAGCCAUCAUUUAAAGAAAGCGUAAUAGCUCACUGGUCGAGUCGGCCUGCGCGGAAGAUGUAACGGGGCUAAACCAUGCACCGAAGCUGCGGCAGCGACACUAUGUGUUGUUGGGUAGGGGAGCGUUCUGUAAGCCUGUGAAGGUGUACUGUGAGGUAUGCUGGAGGUAUCAGAAGUGCGAAUGCUGACAUAAGUAACGAUAAAGCGGGUGAAAAGCCCGCUCGCCGGAAGACCAAGGGUUCCUGUCCAACGUUAAUCGGGGCAGGGUGAGUCGACUCCUAAGGCGAGGCCGAAAGGCGUAGUCGAUGGGAAACAGGUUAAUAUUCCUGUACUUGGUGUUACUGCGAAGGGGGGACGGAGAAGGCUAUGUUGGCCGGGCGACGGUUGUCCCGGUUUAAGCGUGUAGGCUGGUUUUCCAGGCAAAUCCGGAAAACUAAGGCUGAGGCGUGAUGACGAGGCACUACGGUGCUGAAGCAACAAAUGCCCUGCUUCCAGGAAAAGCCUCUAAGCAUCAGGUAACAUCAAAUCGUACCCCAAACCGACACAGGUGGUCAGGUAGAGAAUACCAAGGCGCUUGAGAGAACUCGGGUGAAGGAACUAGGCAAAAUGGUGCCGUAACUUCGGGAGAAGGCACGCUGAUAUGUAGGUGAAGUCCCUCGCGGAUGGAGCUGAAAUCAGUCGAAGAUACCAGCUGGCUGCAACUGUUUAUUAAAAACACAGCACUGUGCAAACACGAAAGUGGACGUAUACGGUGUGACGCCUGCCCGGUGCCGGAAGGUUAAUUGAUGGGGUCAGCGCAAGCGAAGCUCUUGAUCGAAGCCCCGGUAAACGGCGGCCGUAACUAUAACGGUCCUAAGGUAGCGAAAUUCCUUGUCGGGUAAGUUCCGACCUGCACGAAUGGCGUAAUGAUGGCCAGGCUGUCUCCACCCGAGACUCAGUGAAAUUGAACUCGCUGUGAAGAUGCAGUGUACCCGCGGCAAGACGGAAAGACCCCGUGAACCUUUACUAUAGCUUGACACUGAACAUUGAGCCUUGAUGUGUAGGAUAGGUGGGAGGCUUUGAAGUGUGGACGCCAGUCUGCAUGGAGCCGACCUUGAAAUACCACCCUUUAAUGUUUGAUGUUCUAACGUUGACCCGUAAUCCGGGUUGCGGACAGUGUCUGGUGGGUAGUUUGACUGGGGCGGUCUCCUCCUAAAGAGUAACGGAGGAGCACGAAGGUUGGCUAAUCCUGGUCGGACAUCAGGAGGUUAGUGCAAUGGCAUAAGCCAGCUUGACUGCGAGCGUGACGGCGCGAGCAGGUGCGAAAGCAGGUCAUAGUGAUCCGGUGGUUCUGAAUGGAAGGGCCAUCGCUCAACGGAUAAAAGGUACUCCGGGGAUAACAGGCUGAUACCGCCCAAGAGUUCAUAUCGACGGCGGUGUUUGGCACCUCGAUGUCGGCUCAUCACAUCCUGGGGCUGAAGUAGGUCCCAAGGGUAUGGCUGUUCGCCAUUUAAAGUGGUACGCGAGCUGGGUUUAGAACGUCGUGAGACAGUUCGGUCCCUAUCUGCCGUGGGCGCUGGAGAACUGAGGGGGGCUGCUCCUAGUACGAGAGGACCGGAGUGGACGCAUCACUGGUGUUCGGGUUGUCAUGCCAAUGGCACUGCCCGGUAGCUAAAUGCGGAAGAGAUAAGUGCUGAAAGCAUCUAAGCACGAAACUUGCCCCGAGAUGAGUUCUCCCUGACUCCUUGAGAGUCCUGAAGGAACGUUGAAGACGACGACGUUGAUAGGCCGGGUGUGUAAGCGCAGCGAUGCGUUGAGCUAACCGGUACUAAUGAACCGUGAGGCUUAACCUU
rnacentral:rRNA from 1 species